UGGGGAAUAUUGGACAAUGGGCGCAAGCCUGAUCCAGCCAUGCCGCGUGGGUGAAGAAGGCCUUCGGGUUGUAAAGCCCUUUUGUUGGGAAAGAAAAGCAGUCGGUUAAUACCCGAUUGUUCUGACGGUACCCAAAGAAUAAGCACCGGCUAACUUCGUGCCAGCAGCCGCGGUAAUACGAAGGGUGCAAGCGUUACUCGGAAUUACUGGGCGUAAAGCGUGCGUAGGUGGUUUGUUAAGUCUGAUGUGAAAGCCCUGGGCUCAACCUGGGAAUUGCAUUGGAUACUGGCAGGCUGGAGUGCGGCAGAGGGUAGUGGAAUUCCCGGUGUAGCAGUGAAAUGCGUAGAGAUCGGGAGGAACAUCCGUGGCGAAGGCGACUACCUGGACCAGCACUGACACUGAGGCACGAAAGCGUGGGGAGCAAACAGGAUUAGAUACCCUGGUAGUCCACGCCCUAAACGAUGCGAAUUGGAUGUUGGGUUCAAUUAGGAACUCAGUAUCGAAGCUAACGCGUUAAGUUCGCCGCCUGGGGAGUACGGUCGCAAGACUGAAACUUAAAUGAAUUGAC
rnacentral:rRNA from 1 species